CAGUCGCCGCGGUAAUACGUAGGGUGCGAGCGUUAAUCGGAAUUACUGGGCGUAAAGCGUGCGCAGGCGGUUUUGUAAGACAGGCGUGAAAUCCCCGGGCUCAACCUGGGAAUGGCGCUUGUGACUGCAAAGCUAGAGUGCGGCAGAGGGAGAUGGAAUUCCGCGUGUAGCAGUGAAAUGCGUAGAUAUGCGGAGGAACACCGAUGCCGAAGGCAAUCCCCUGGGCCUGCACUGACGCUCAUGCACGAAAGCGUGGGGAGCAAACAGGAUUAGAUACCCCUGUAGUCCCUGUCUCUUAUAC
rnacentral:rRNA from 1 species